CAAUGGCGCAAUGCUAUACAUGCAGUCGAGCGGAGAUGGGAGCUUGCUCCCUGAUGUUAGCGGCGGACGGGUGAGUAACACGUGGGUAACCUGCCUGUAAGACUGGGAUAACUCCGGGAAACCGGGGCUAAUACCGGAUGGUUGUUUGAACCGCAUGGUUCAGACAUAAAAGGUGGCUUCGGCUACCACUUACAGAUGGACCCGCGGCGCAUUAGCUAGUUGGUGAGGUAACGGCUCACCAAGGCGACGAUGCGUAGCCGACCUGAGAGGGUGAUCGGCCACACUGGGACUGAGACACGGCCCAGACUCCUACGGGAGGCAGCAGUAGGGAAUCUUCCGCAAUGGACGAAAGUCUGACGGAGCAACGCCGCGUGAGUGAUGAAGGUUUUCGGAUCGUAAAGCUCUGUUGUUAGGGAAGAACAAGUGCCGUUCAAAUAGGGCGGCACCUUGACGGUACCUAACCAGAAAGCCACGGCUAACUACGUGCCAGCAGCCGCGGUAAUACGUAGGUGGCAAGCGUUGUCCGGAAUUAUUGGGCGUAAAGGGCUCGCAGGCGGUUUCUUAAGUCUGAUGUGAAAGCCCCCGGCUCAACCGGGGAGGGUCAUUGGAAACUGGGGAACUUGAGUGCAGAAGAGGAGAGUGGAAUUCCACGUGUAGCGGUGAAAUGCGUAGAGAUGUGGAGGAACACCAGUGGCGAAGGCGACUCUCUGGUCUGUAACUGACGCUGAGGAGCGAAAGCGUGGGGAGCGAACAGGAUUAGAUACCCUGGUAGUCCACGCCGUAACGAUGAGUGCUAAGUGUUAGGGGGUUUCCGCCCCUUAGUGCUGCAGCUAACGCAUUAAGCACUCCGCCUGGGGAGUACGGUCGCAAGACUGAAACUCAAAGGAAUUGACGGGGGCCCGCACAAGCGGUGGAGCAUGUGGUUUAAUUCGAAGCAACGCGAGAACCUUACCAGUCUUGACAUCCUCUGACAAUCCUAG
rnacentral:rRNA from 1 species